GACUGCGUGGCCUAAUGGAUAAGGCAUCUGACUUCAAAUCAGAAGUUUGAGAGUUUGAGUCCCUUCAUGGUCA
rnacentral:tRNA from 1 species